UAGCUUUCAACCUUACUACAUGCACAAUUUCAACAAUCUAACUCACUCUUAUUUCAUUCAAUCUUCUGCAACUGAAUCAGGAGAGAAUGGGGAAAAUAAAAUGCAUCAUCACUAUGGAUUGUCUACUGAUUUUCACUCUUGUCGUGAUGAAUAUUCAUCACGUCCUCGGAGAUGCCAAUGUCACUGUUACUUUUCUCAACACCGCUAUAUCUAAAGGAGCAGUUUGUCUAGAUGGAAGCGCACCCGCUUACUCGUACGUUGAGGGCUUCGGAACCGGAUCUCAUAGCUGGAUAGUUUAUUUGGUGGUAUAU